rnacentral:rRNA from 1 species
GACGAACCGUGCGAACGUUGUUCGGAAUCACUGGGCUUAAAGGGCGCGUAGGCGGUCGAUCAAGUCCGGGGUGAAAUCCUGCAGCUUAACUGUAGAAGUGCCUUGGAUACUGGUUGACUCGAGGGAGGUAGGGGUCUGUGGAACUUCUGGUGGAGCGGUGAAAUGCGUUGAUAUCAGAAGGAACGCCGGUGGCGAAAGCGACGGACUGGACCUCUUCUGACGCUGAGGCGCGAAAGCUAGGGGAGCAAACGGG